GUAGUUCUGAGGUCAUAAAUAAAACGGCAAACAAAAGAAAAAACAUUCCUAGCGUCGAGAGUUGUACAAAGUAUUCCUUUAUCUGGACUAUCAUCGCUUAUUUUUCAUCAAUGAUGAUUUGCAUUGUAUUUUUAUCCAGUGGUGAACGGAUAUGUUGGUUGCAAAAUAUGGAUGUGUGGAAGAAGAUAAUGAUCAUCCUUCUAACUUUGGCAUUUUUCUUUAUUAUGGAUUUAAUGAAUUUUCUAAUCAAGGA